ACCUGACUGUCACCAUCUGCCUGAUGCGAGGAAGGAAAGCACAGACACAUUUACUCAUGCAGCUGCCCGUUGGAAGCAGACGCAGUCCGUUCUGCCUCCGUGUGAUUUCUGCUGUGGUUCUAGUUCAGGAAGCUGCACUAUGCAGGGAAUGUCACCAUAGCACACCGCUAUGUGCCUCAUGCCAGGUGGAGACAGAGCCGUGGAAAAUGCUCCAAUGAGGGACAGGUGGCACAUGUGGCUGCAGGUACGACCCGGUCUGAGGGAACACACACGCGGGAACGUGCUCAGACCGACGGCAGCAGGUCCAACACCCAAAGGCGCGACUCGCCGCUCCUCCAAUAAUCAGGCAGCAGGACGUCUUCCACUGUCGCCUGCAGCCAGAACAGAGGUCAGAGGUUCCAGUUCUUCCAUUAGCACAAGUUCAAGUUCAGUGGCACUGAUCCUGAGUCUGCGCUUUCAGCUCCUGGGAGUUCACAGCUACUGAACAACAACACCAAGCGCCUCCAUUAGUCACGACAGGCGCUUGAAAUACUGGUGUUUACCUUCACGGCCGCUGCUCACGCCAAUGGUGAUGAAUGGGGCCCACGCCGUUGGCUGCGAACCACACGGCUGCUCUUUACAUUAAUGUUCUGUUGUUGAAUGUGUGUGUGUUGUUGAUUGUUCAUGACGCGGGGAAGCACAUGCGUGUGCUCCACCACGAACACGCUGAAGCGUUUAUGUUCAUGUAGCAGCUAUGAAGGAGAGUCGCGCUGCAGCGGGUGAAGCCGAGCCGUCGGCACCGCAUGGGGUCCAACAGAGAACGAGGCUCGCGCCUCCUCAGACGUCUCCUUCAGGAGCCAAUCGCUGCGAAACUGCACUUUCUGUGAAUGAUGUGCGUAAAGUAAUGAAAAGCAGACUCCUAAUGGACGUGAAGGAUCCAUCCCUGGUCUCUGGUCUCACUCUCGACCCUCAGUAAUGGGAGACACCUGGAGAAAUCAUGAGUUAAUCAAAAGGAUCUGACAACAAUUUGUCCCAGAGAGCAGAGAUAAUGAGAUUGAAUCCGUGAGUGGAGCAACACGCUGCGGCUCUCGCUCCUGGACCCACACCAGCACAUGAGGAGGAGAACGCUGGGGUCACGUUCUGUGCAGCCCCACGUCAGCCGCCCGCUGCUCAUCGCAGUCAUCGGGCCUUCAUCUACUAACAUCACAUCAGGCGUGAGGGCGUUUCAUCCUGAAGAGGCAGAAACGAGCCGUGUUUCAGACUCGCGUCUCGUUUGAGUCUUGUAGCCACACGUUACAUAACUCUGCUAAAGGUUAUGAAGUAACAGUCUCAUCUGAUAUUUGCAUUUUAAAUAUUGUCUUAUGUAAAUGUCAAGCUAUGAUAGAGAAUGGUGGAAACGCUGCAGAUUUCAAUCCAGAGGAGCGUCGCAGUCUGUAGCAUCGACUGACCAGUCACGGUGGUCAAACCACAGCGUUCAACAGAAACGCCAACAGCAAACAGAGAUCAGAGUGAUUUCAGAUGUGGGGACUAAAACAACUGGAGCCUUGAGGGAAGUUUUCCUCAUUAUUCAUUUUAAAAGCGUGAGAUCCGUUUCUGGCCAAGGAGGAAAAGCAUCAGAGUGAAAGAGCAGCAACGUGUGUCUCACAUGUAAGAGGGAAAAAGUGAAGAGAUUAGAAUUAAAGGGCGAAGCUGAGCAGAGUCGGCGGUUGGAAGAACUUCACACGGCGUCUACGCAUCAUUGUUGAGCACAGACACGUGUGGCGGCGCCUUCAGCCACCGGCCGUUCCACGGAAAGCGGACCUGAGCGUCGCCGUGAGCCCAGCGUGGCUCCGAUGAAACCACUAACACGGGACAGACGC